GGACCCGCACAAGUAGUGGAGCAUGUGGUUUAAUUCGAAGAUACGCGCAGAACCUUACCAACACUUGACAUGUUCGUCGCGACUCUAAGAGAUUAGAGUUUUCGGUUCGGCCGGACGAAACACAGGUGCUGCAUGGCUGUCGUCAGCUCGUGUCGUGAGAUGUUGGGUUAAGUCCCGCAACGAGCGCAACCCUCACUUUUAGUUGCCAUCAUUUAGUUGGGCACUCUGAAAGAACUGCCAGUGAUAAGCUGGAGGAAGGUGGGGAUGACGUCAAGUCCUCAUGGCCCUUACGUGUUGGGCUACACACGUGCUACAAUGGUAUCUACAACAGGAAGCAAGACUGCGAAGUUAAGCAAAUCCUCAAAAGAUACCUCAGUUCGGAUUGCACUCUGCAACUCGAGUGCAUGAAGCUGGAAUUACUAGUAAUCGU
rnacentral:rRNA from 1 species